rnacentral:rRNA from 1 species
ACGUAGGUGGCAAGCGUUAUCCGGAAUUAUUGGGCGUAAAGCGCGCGUAGGCGGUUUUUUAAGUCUGAUGUGAAAGUCCACGGCUCAACCGUGGAGGGUCAUUGGAAACUGGAAAACUUGAGUGCAGAAGAGGAAAGUGGAAUUCCAUGUGUAGCGGUGAAAUGCGCAGAGAUAUGGAGGAACACCAGUGGCGAAGGCGACUUU